rnacentral:rRNA from 1 species
AGAGUUUGAUCCUGGCUCAGGAUGAACGCUGGCGGCGUGCCUAACACAUGCAAGUCGAACGGAGUUACUUUGGUGAAGUUUUCGGAUGGAUCUGAUUUAACUUAGUGGCGGACGGGUGAGUAAUGCGUGAGCAACCUGCCCUUCAGAGGGGGACAACAGUUGGAAACGACUGCUAAUACCGCAUAAUGUAUUCGGAAGGCAUCUUCUGGAUACCAAAGGAGAAAUCCGCUGAUGGAUGGGCUCACGUCUGAUUAGCUAGUUGGUGAGGUAACGGCUCACCAAGGCUGCGAUCAGUAGCCGGACUGAGAGGUUGAACGGCCACAUUGGGACUGAGAUACGGCCCAGACUCCUACGGGAGGCAGCAGUGGGGAAUAUUGCACAAUGGGGGAAACCCUGAUGCAGCAACGCCGCGUGAAGGAUGACGGUUUUCGGAUUGUAAACUUCUUUUCUUAGUGACGAAGACAGUGACGGUAGCUAAGGAAUAAGCAUCGGCUAACUACGUGCCAGCAGCCGCGGUAAUACGUAGGAUGCAAGCGUUAUCCGGAUUUACUGGGUGUAAAGGGAGCGCAGGCGGGACUGCAAGUUGGAUGUGAAAUACCGUGGCUUAACCACGGAACUGCAUCCAAAACUGUAGUUCUUGAGUGAAGUAGAGGCAAGCGGAAUUCCGAGUGUAGCGGUGAAAUGCGUAGAUAUUCGGAGGAACACCAGUGGCGAAGGCGGCUUGCUGGGCUUUAACUGACGCUGAGGCUCGAAAGUGUGGGGAGCAAACAGGAUUAGAUACCCUGGUAGUCCACACUGUAAACGAUGAUAGCUAGGUGUGGGGGGUCUGACCCCUUCCGUGCCGGAGUUAACGCAAUAAGCUAUCCACCUGGGGAGUACGACCGCAAGGUUGAAACUCAAAGGAAUUGACGGGGGCC